AUGCAACUUGAUGACUCUGUGUGGUUGCUAGGGGCACAGGUUGUGCUGAUAAAAGUCCAUGAACUUUUUGAUAAGCAUCAUUAUUUUCAAUUUGAUCUAUUGUUUUCUAGCUUUUUUGUGUAUCAACUUCCAUGUAUGGUACUGUUUGUCAAGCAUUACUAUUGUUCUCACUUAGAUUUUCUUCUUCUUUUUUGCUACUUUAAAUUUAGAUGCUCAAGAAAUUUGGUAAGCGUCAUAGUGGUUUGGGCCUUGGUGCUACAUGAGACACAAGCACCUUCAAAGUACAUGCGUGUAUUUAUGGAUAUUAGUGCUUUUGCUCAUUCUAAUUUUUUUACUUAA
rnacentral:rRNA from 1 species